rnacentral:rRNA from 1 species
AAACAGCCACCUUUUAAAAAGCGUUAAAGCUUUAUUACUAAAACAUAUUAAUACCUCAACAUACUCAAAACCCUUAAUUACUACUGAAUGACUCUAUAUUUGUAUAGAGAACUAUAUGCUAGAACUAGUAACAAGAAGAUGAACUUCUCCAAAAUACAAGUGUAAGCCGAGAUGAACUUCUCAACGGCAUUUAUCGCUAAUGAACUUAAAGUAGUAACCAAACAAGAAAAUCCUACUUGAACCCAGCGUUAACCUUACACCAGAGUAUUUCCAGAAAGAUUAAAAAAUAGGGAAGGAACUCGGCAAAUUAUUAACCUCGCCUGUUUACCAAAAACAUCGCCUCCUGAAAAAUCGUAGGAGGUCCAGCCUGCCCAGUGACAUAGUUAAACGGCCGCGGUACCCUAACCGUGCGAAGGUAGCGCAAUCACUUGUUCUUUAAAUGAGGACUAGUAUGAAUGGCAUCACGAGGGUUACACUGUCUCCCCUAUUUAAUCAGUGAAACUGAUCUCCCCGUGAAGAAGCGGGGAUAAAAUUAUAAGACGAGAAGACCCCAUGGAGCUUUAAACUCAGUAUUAACUGUUUCAAGAUAAAUCAAAGUAAUUUAACAGAAAUGACUACUAGUUUUCGGUUGGGGUGACCGCGGAGAAAAACAAAACCUCCACGAUGAACGGGCCUUAUGCCCUUAUCUAAGAGCUACUGCUCUAAGAAUCAAAAAAUUGACAAAAAUUGAUCCAAGUACUCUUGAUCAACGAACCAAGUUACCCUGGGGAUAACAGCGCAAUCCAUUUCAAGAGCUCCUAUCGACAAAUGGGUUUACGACCUCGAUGUUGGAUCAGGGUAUCCCAGUGGUGCAGCCGCUACUAAAGGUUCGUUUGUUCAACGAUUAAAACCCUACGUCAUCUGAUCCCAGAAACGGAAGAA